rfam:Daphnia pulex DAPPTscaffold_6_Cont441, whole genome shotgun sequence.
AAAACGGCCCUUGUGAGGGCCACCAAAGCUAUUGAAAAGAGCAAACG